rnacentral:lncRNA from 1 species
CCUGAUGCUCCUUCUCCUUGCACCUCCUUGUUGCUGCUCUUCCCCUCCUUUUCUGCUACUCAAAUCUCUCUGCUGCUCCCUCACGCUCCUGCCUGCCGCUGCUCUUUCUCUAACCUCCCCACGCCUCUGCUCUGCUUCCUCACCUCCAUUGCUGCUCCCUUCUUCUCAACGUGACCUGCUGCCGCACCUUCUGCUCCUUAUCUCCUUCUUCAACCUGCUGCUGCUCGCCCUCAACCCUCUCUGCUGCUUUUCUUCUCCCUCAACGCCUGCUGCUGAUUCCUCUCAACGCCCCCUACUACUUCUUUCUUCUUCCACCUGCUGCUGCUUCUCUUUAGAUCCACAAAAACUGCUGCUGCUGCUCUCUCUCUCUCUCUCUGAAUUUUCUAUAAGCUAAGAUGUGUAAAAUUUUGUAAUAUUCAGAUUUUUAAGAGUGUUGGCAACAUGUAGCUUGUUCUGUUUGGUACUUGUAAUAUAUAAUGCUUGUCUUGAAUUUCUGUAGGCUGUGAGAAAUAAUUGUCCUUGAAAUCUUGCUCUGUGAUUUAGUAACCUUCUAGUAUAUUUGUGUGAUCACCUUGUGUACUAGUCCCUGUACUAGUUCUCUGUACUUAUCCUAUUUGUAGUCUCUGUGUGUGUUAGCUCUAGUACCUGUGAUAUGUAUGAGUGUUUGUGUUGUGAUAUAUUUCUGUCCCUAUCAUAUUAGCUUGUUUCUUUCCUUCUGUCAUUGCUUGUUAUAUAUGUCUAUGUUUUUUUGAA